AUUGAACGCUGGCGGCAGGCCUAACACAUGCAAGUCGAGCGAGAGGCGGACGGGUGCGUAAUGUAUGGGGAAUGCCGGAUAGAGGGGGAUCACUACUGGAAAAGGUGGCUAAUACCGCAUAUUGUCGGAUAACCCAUAUGGGGUUAGCUAGUAGGUAAGGUAAUGGCUUACCUAGGCGGCGAUCCCUAGCUGGUCUGAGAGGAUGAUCAGCCACACUGGGACUGAGACACGGUCCAGACUCCUACGGAGGCAGCAGUGGGGAAUAUGGCACAAUGGUCGCAAGCCUGAGGCAGCCAUGCCGCGUGUAUGAAGAAGGCCCUAGGGUUGUAAAGUACUUUCAGUCGGGAGGCGUUACCGACAGAAGAAGCACCGGCUAACUCCGUGCCAGCAGCCGCGGUAAUUC
rnacentral:rRNA from 1 species